rnacentral:rRNA from 1 species
UACGGGGGGGUGCGAGCGUUGUCCGGAAUCACUGGGCGUAAAGGGCGCGUAGGCGGCCUGAUAAGUAGGGGGGUGAAAUCCUGCGGCUUAACCGCAGGGCUGCCUUCUAAACUGUCAGGCUCGAGCACAGUAGAGGCAGGUGGAAUUCCCGGUGUAGCGGUGGAAUGCGUAGAGAUCGGGAAGAACAUCAGUGGCGAAGGCGGCCUGCUGGGCUGUUGCUGACGCUGAGGCGCGACAGCGUGGGGAGCAAACAGG